AGCAGCCGCGGUAAUUCCAGCUCCAAUAGCGUAUAUUAAAGUUGUUGCAGUUAAAAGCUCGUAGUUGAAUUUCGGGAUUGACACAUCGGUCGUGCCUUAAGGGGUAUGAACUGGUGUAGCCAAUUUCUCACCUUCUGGAGAACCGCGAUGUCCUUAACUGGGUGCCGCGAGGAACCAGGACCUUUACUUUGAAAAAUUGAGUGUUUAAAGCAGGCAUUUUGCUUGAAUACAUUAGCAUGGAAUAAUAAAAUAGGACGGCAUGAUUCUAUUUUGUUGGUUUCUAGGAUCACCGUAAUGAUUAAUAGGGAUAGUUGGGGGCAUUAGUAUUCAAUUGUCAGAGGUGAAAUUCUUGGAUUUAUUGAAGACUAACUACUGCGAAAGCAUUUGCCAAGGAUGUUUUCAUUAAUCAAGAACGAAAGUUAGGGGAUCGAAGACGAUCAGAUACCGUCGUAGUCUUAACCAUAAACUAUGCCGACUAGGAAUCAGACGAUGUUAAUUUUUAAUGUACUUCGUUUGGCGU
rnacentral:misc_RNA from 1 species